rnacentral:lncRNA from 1 species
AAGCCCCCCGGUACAUAGUUGUGUAUUCUUCGUUGUGGGUUCCUCUAGUUGUGGCAUGUGGGACGCUGCCUCAGCGUGGUCUGACGAGCAGUGCCAUGUCCGCGCCCAGGAUUCGAACCGACGAAACACUGGGCCGCCUGCAGCGGAGCGCGCGAACGUAACCACUCGGCCACGGGGCCAGCCCCGUUUCUCCACUUUUUUAAGUGAUAAGGGUGAAGCUGACCUUAACAACAAUGAAGUGGUGAGCAGGACAGAUUAGAAGGCCUAACUCAGGAGCCCAGAAUGCCAGACAUGAGCAGAGACAGACAGCAUGCCAGGACCUAAGUACCACAGAGCCAAACUGCCCAACUGAUCACAGACAAGAGGGGAGGAAGUUGCCACUUUCUGCUUCUCUUCUACAGUGUGGAGGGAUCGAAAAAUGUCUCCUGAUAGUCAUUGACCAUCAUUGUAAC